AGUGAACGCUGGCGGUAGGCCUAACGCAUGCAAGUCGAACGGCAGCACAGUAAGAGCUUGCUCUUACGGGUGGCGAGUGGCGGACGGGUGAGGAAUACAUCGGAAUCUACUUUUUCGUGGGGGAUAACGUAGGGAAACUUACGCUAAUACCGCAUACGACCUACGGGUGAAAGCAGGGGAUCUUCGGACCUUGCGCGAUUGAAUGAGCCGAUGUCGGAUUAGCUAGUUGGCGGGGUAAAGGCCCACCAAGGCGACGAUCCGUAGCUGGUCUGAGAGGAUGAUCAGCCACACUGGAACUGAGACACGGUCCAGACUCCUACGGGAGGCAGCAGUGGGGAAUAUUGGACAAUGGGCGCAAGCCUGAUCCAGCCAUACCGCGUGGGUGAAGAAGGCCUUCGGGUUGUAAAGCCCUUUUGUUGGGAAAGAAAAGCAGCAGGUUAAUACCCCGCUGUUCUGACGGGACCCAAAGAAUAAGCACCGGCUAACUUCGU
rnacentral:rRNA from 1 species